CAAAUAAAUAAAAACUUUCAACAACGGAUCUCUUGGUUCUGGCAUCGAUGAAGAACGCAGCGAAAUGCGAUAAGUAAUGUGAAUUGCAGAAUUCAGUGAAUCAUCGAAUCUUUGAACGCACAUUGCGCCCGCCAGUAUUCUGGCGGGCAUGCCUGUCUGAGCGUCAUUUCAACCCUCAUGCCCCUAGGGCGUGGUGUUGGGGAUCGGCCAAAGCCCGCGAGGGACGGCCGGCCCCUAAAUCUAGUGGCGGACCCGUCGUGGCCUCCCCUGCGAAGUAGUGAUAUUCCGCAUCGGAGAGCGACGAGCCCCUGCCGUUAAACCCCCAAUUUCCAAGGUUGACCUCAGAUCAGGUAGGAAUACCCGCUGAACUUAAGCAUAUCAAUAAGCGGAGGAAAAGAAACCAACAGGGAUUGCCCUAGUAACGGCGAGUGAAGCGGCAACAGCUCAAAUUUGAAAUCUGGCGCAAGCCCGAGUUGUAAUUUGUAGAGGAUGUUUCUGGCGACGCGCCUUCCGAGUUCCCUGGAACGGGACGCCAUAGAGGGUGAGAGCCCCGUACGGUUGGAUGCCUAGCCUCUGUGAAACUCCUUCGACGAGUCGAGUAGUUUGGGAAUGCUGCUCUAAAUGGGAGGUAUACGUCUUCUAAAGCUAAAUACCGGCCAGAGACCGAUAGCGCACAAGUAGAGUGAUCGAAAGAUGAAAAGCACUUUGAAAAGAGGGUUAAAAAGUACGUGAAAUUGUUGAAAGGGAAGCGUUCAUGACCAGACUUGGGCAGGUUGAUCAUCCGUGGUUCUCCGCGGUGCACUCUGCCUGCCCAGGCCAGCAUCAGUUCGCCCCGGGGGAUAAAGGCUUUGGGAAUGUGGCUCCCUCGGGAGUGUUAUAGCCCACUGCGUAAUACCCUGGGGUGGACUGAGGUUCGCGCUC
rnacentral:rRNA from 1 species